CAGCGAGUGGGCGCCGGGCAGCCUUUCGCUCCCGAAGGCCGCCAGGGACAGCACGCCGCAGGCGACGGCCGACAGGAUCAGCAGGGGGGUGCGGGCCCGCCGGGCGCGGUCCCACAGCAGCCACGCCAAGCCGAUGCAGCUCAGCAGCUUGAGGAAAAUGGUGUAGCGGUAAAGGCUCAUCUGGAUGAGCGACUCGCGGACGUACCAGAUGCCCGCACCGAGCAGCGCGACGACCAGCAUGGCCGCCACGAGGACGAACACGCGGGUCGUGCGCUGCAACUCGGGCGAGGGGCGCUCGGUGCGGCGAAUUCGGUAGGCGACGACGGCCAGCGGCAGGGGGGCGAGGAACGUGGCCCACAGCGGCCACGGCCAGGAGGACGGGUCGUAGU
rnacentral:misc_RNA from 1 species